GAUGAAGAACGUAGUGAAAUGCGAUAAGUAAUGUGAAUUGCAGAAUUCAGUGAAUCAUCGAAUCUUUGAACGCACCUUGCGCUCCUUGGUAUUCCUUGGAGCAUGCCUGUUUGAGUAUCAUGAAAUCCUCAAAAUAUAACUUUCGUUCAUUCGAUUGGUUUUAUUUUGGACUUGGAGGUCUGCAGAUUCACGUCUGCUCCUCUCAAAUGCAUUAGCUGGAUCUCAGUGAGCUCGGUUCCACUCGGCGUGAUAAGUAUCACUCGCUGAGGACACUGUAAAAAGUGGCCGGGAUUGCAGAUGAACCGCUUCUAAUCGUCUAUUAGCUUAGACAAUUAAAUCUUAUGAUCUGAUCUCAAAUCAGGUAGGACUACCCGCUGAACUUAAGCAUAUCAAUAAGCGGAGGA
rnacentral:misc_RNA from 1 species